rnacentral:ribozyme from 1 species
ACACACUAACUGCCGACCGAUCUAUCUAUCUGUCCGAAUUUUCAUCUUGCAAGGGAACCUCGAUCUAUGAUUGUUUUUUGCGCCGGCUCUUUCGUUUUCCUUUUCUUUCUCUCUCUCUCAAUCUCUUCCUGUUCACCUUCU